CGUGUAGGCGGCUCAUCAAGUCUGGUGUGAAAUCGCAGGGCUUAACCCUGCAUAUGCGCUGGAAACUGGUGGGCUUGAGUUCUUGAGGGGAAGCUGGAAUUCCAGGUGUAGGGGUGAAAUCUGUAGAUAUCUGGAAGAACAUCGGUGGCGAAGGCGAGCUUCUAUCAGAGGACUGACGCUGAGGCGCGAAAGCGUGGGGAGCAAACAGGAUUAGAUACCCUGGUAGUCCACGCUGUAAACGAUGUGCACUAGGCGUGGGGCACGUACGUGCUCUGUGCCGUAGUUAACGUGUUAAGUGCGCCGCCUGGGGAGUAUGCUCGCAAGGGUGAA
rnacentral:rRNA from 1 species